ACUCCUACGGGAGGCAGCAGUGGGGAAUAUUGGACAAUGGGCGCAAGCCUGAUCCAGCCAUGCCGCGUGGGUGAUGAAGGCCCUAGGGUUGUAAAGCCCUUUCGGCGGGGAAGAUAAUGACGGUACCCGCAGAAGAAGCCCCGGCUAACUUCGUGCCAGCAGCCGCGGUAAU
rnacentral:rRNA from 1 species